GUCAUUUUCUCUUCUUUCCCCAAAUUAAGACAGCGUUGAAAUUGAGAGAAAAGAAAAUAGAAAAGCUGCGCAGCAGCCAUGAGACCAAGAGAGGAGAUCGAAGAGAGGAGAAAAUAGUUUGGAAAUUAAGAUGAAGAAGAGUAAUGGGUUCGAAUUUCUGGUGCUGUUGGUGGCCGAUGGUUGGAAUUGAUGAUACUGUUAGAUUAAAGACGAAGAAGAACACACAUAAACAAAUGAGAUGAUCGAAAUUGUGAGAUGCUGUGGAUUUUCCAUGGGAUUGUUGAACUGAGGUUCGUAAAGAUGUUCGUUUGAGGAACUGCUGACUGAAUUCGUGAUGAGUCUGUCUUUGAUUUCAAGACUGGCGCAGUUAAUUUGAGAAAUUGGGUAUCAAUCCAUUCGAAUCUUGUAAUGUGGUAGAUAGAAGCAGAGAAGUUAGGGUUUUGGAACUGAUACUGGUUCGAUGUUACUGGCGGAUCUAAUGGGUUCGAGAUGAUUUCAGAAAUGAAGAUGGGUUUCAGAUGAGAAGGUGGUGCUGCUGAUAGAGGCAGAAGGGUAGAAUUCGAACUGUAAUUGGGUUGAUGUUGCUCCAUUGAGUGGUCUGUGAUGUGAAUCCAAAGAGGAGAAGUUGCUGCUGUUGUACAAAGUUAUGAGACUGGAAGUUGGUUGUGCAGCUGCGAUGAAGGGGUUAUUGGUAUUGGAGGCCUGUAUACAGUGAGAUGGUGGUGGCAGUGAAGAAUUGAUUGGAUUUGCAAUUGCAGAAGAAGGAAGCAGAUUGCAGGUGGUUAUGCUGGUGUCAGGUUAUUGCGUCACAACUGAGACAAGAAAUGGGUAUUGCUUGCAAUUGAAGCUGUUUAUGUUUACUGGCUUAGAUGUGAACAAGAAAUGCUCUACAGCUGGUUAUGAUGAAUUGCAAGGGUUCUGGUUUUGUUACUGAGAGCAUGUACUUGAAUCAGUUGGCUAUGGAAUUGAUUAGAUGAAUGUUAGGAGCUGUGCAGCUGAGUCUGACAGUGGUGUUAUGGCUGAGAUGGAGAUUUAAGGGAAGUUCAGAUGCCGCAGGGUAUGAUGAAGGGUGUUCAUAGAAUAUUCAUAUGGUAUUGAUUGAGCACUGGUUAAACUGGGUGUGUUCGAUUCUAUUGAAAAGAAUGAAUGACUGCAAGGGAAAUGGCUAGUGGAGCUGUAGAACUGGAAUUUGUUGGCUUAAGAAUUGUUGCAGAGUGCUUGUGUUGAUUGCAGUGGGCUGUGGCAUUAUGUAGCUACUAGAGAGAGUUGCAGGUGAGAUGUUGCUGCGAUUGUUUAUAGGGAAGCUAAGAUGAUUUUGGUGGAACUGAAGCUACAAAUUGAGAAGCAGCUGACGAUGUAUGGCUUAGGCUGCGUAUGUGGAUUGCAGUUUGUUAGAAUUCUGUGACUAAACUGUAGUCAUACAAUUAAGUAGGAGCUGCAAAGAAGUUGAAUUGCUAUGGUGCAGUGGCUAUGUUGCAAAGAAUGGUGUUGUGGAGUUGUGAACUGAGUUGGCUUCGCAGGCAUUUCAGCAUUCCAGCUGGAGCAGGGAACAAGUGAUGUUGUUGUUCACAAAGUCAAGAAGAUGAAGAAUGAAGGGGAUGAACUCGUAAUGGUUCAUGACUGAGAUGGAGUCGCAAUGGCUAAUACAUGGAUUGAAGGCAAAGAAAUGAGGCAGCUGAGUUAAAUGGUGCUGCAAUGAUCAAAUGGAAGUGAAGGAUAGAAGUUACAGAGUUGGUGAUGCACAAUCAUUGUGCAGCAGCAAAGCUCUAGCCUGCGAAAUGGUUUUGGCUUAGAACAAGUCAGCUGAGUUAGCCUUAACUCAGACCCGACUCAUCUGACUGGUACCAACUGACUGACUCGGGUGUGACUCAGUGAGUUCGACCGAUUUAACUCGUUGACCGGUGACCGGGUGGACUUUGCCGGUCACCUGGGAUGAUUUCCCGCCGAUUUCCGACCAGUUUCCGGCGACAUUAUUUUGGACAUAUUUUCUACAUGGGUUCUUCACACACAUGGACUUGGUGGACUUCUUGGUGAUGGGCUUUUGAAGACUUGACCUAACAAGAGCUACAAAAAGAAAAGUUUUCUACUUUCUUUUAUCACGUAUUAUUCUUGGAGCUUUGGGGAGAUAGCCGCGACUAGGGUUUGAUUUCGUUUAUUUUUCAUCUUCUUCAAUUUAUUUCUGAUUAUGGUUAUGAUGAACUCAAAAGCUAUGAGUAACUAAAUACUAUUAUUGGUUAUGGGAUAAAAAUUGAUUUCUCAAGUAUGAUAUUUAAAUCAAUGGAUUAGUUUUGUCU